rnacentral:lncRNA from 10 species
CGAUGCCAUCCUCCCAUGAUUGCAAGGGGCAGGCCUGUGUUUGGAACGGGAAGGAAUUCCUCGUAGACGGGAUGGUUGUGAGCGGGACAGAAACUCCACCACAAGGGUUCUGGGGGUACUACAGGGACUAAAGGAAGCAGUGUGAUCAGUGUGAAAGCAGCAAGGCCAUGAUUUAUUUCUUGGGCGUGUAGUUUUCUCCCGAGGCCUCUGCUUGGUUAUUUUACCCAGCAUCGGUGCCAAAGGAGAUUUCCCCAAAGGGAAAAGUACUGCAGUGCUCGACGCAUUACAGUCCUUUCCCGUUUGCAAGCUCUCCCACACAUUCCUUCUUCUGUUCCCAAAUCACAGGAGACGACGAGAAAGAGAACAGACCACCUGUCCAGAUAAUUUGCCUUUGGAGUCUGCAGGGCUGGUGAAGGCAUCCUGAGAUGGGGGAGGCCCCUGGGGACCUCCACAGUCAGGGCUCCCACCUCCUCUCCCACACCGCUCUGCCUCAUGCCCUGGGUUGCCUGUCUGACUGUCUCAAGACUGGGGGUUCUCCGGUGAGCAGAUGGCUGCUUAGCGUCUAUGCCGUGUGCCUGGCUUUUUCCAACCACUCCGAAUUGAUCAUUUCCUAAUGACCACAUGGCUCAGAAACUCACAGCACAUCCUUCUAGGGGCCUCUUUCUCCCAAGUCCUCCCAGGGACUUGGCAGCUUCAUCUCUAAGGCCUGCAGAGGCUGUGGCUAUGGCUGUCCAUUGUUCUCGCUCCUUGGCUUCAGUUCAGAGCCAUCAAAUCCCUGCAGCUCGCACACUGGAACAUUCAUAUUUUGGAUAAGUCAACAAAACAGCUUCUAGAAAAUGGAAAACCCAGAGUGUGAUCUACCAGGAGCUCCUGGUUUCAACCAGUUCCUUGCUGUACCUGCUGGGCCUGUGAUACGAAGAAACAUCAUGGCUUCAAUGGCAGCCUUGGAAAUGAACUUCAUUGAAAGGGAAUUUACACUGAGGUUUAUGAUUGCUGCUAUGAAAAGAGUGCACAUCCUUUCCUUCGAAACACAAGACUAGAAAAAAAAAACUCUAAAAUUCAUACGGAACCACAGAAGACCCUGAAUAGCCAAAGCAAGCUUGAGAAAAAAGAUUUAAAAGAAAAGCUGGAGACAUCACAGCUCUUAGGUCAAAUUAUACUACAAAACUAUGGUAAUCAAAACACUAAGGUACUGGCAUAAAAACAAAUACGUAGACAAAUGGAACAAAACAGAUAGCCCAGAAAUAAGCCCAACCAUACAUGGUCAACUAGUUUUCCACAAAGGCACCAAAGAAUCAUAAUGAGGAAAGGAUGGCCUCUCCAAUAAAUGACCUUGAGAAAACUGUAUAUCCACAUGCUAAAAAAAGAAAAAAAAAAAAAAAAAGGAAAUUGGACCCUUCUCUUCCAACAUGCACAAAAAUCAACUCAAGAUGGACUAAAGACCUAAAUGUAACACCUGAAACCAUAAAAGUCCUAAAGGAAAACACACAAGAAAAACUCUAUGACAUUGGCCUUGGCAGUGAUGUUUUGGAUAUUUCAAGUUAACUCGUCAUUCACUGACUCCACAUAAAAUCCAUCCCUCAAAUAUUCUCAGAACCUAUCACCAAGACUGUGAUCACUUCUUUGGGAUGCUUUAAAGUUAAUUAGGAAAAAUAAAACUGGGUUUUACCUUUGAAAAACUUUCUAACUGUACUGAUGUGCUCAAAUAGAUGGACACAUGAAUGAAAAAUCCAGAAUUUAUUCUUUCCAUGUGGUCUAGGUCCCUCCAUAUGUUUCUCUGGAUUUUGCCAUUCACUGAAUGCACACGAACACUGAAUUUACUCUCUAUUGCUGUGUAACAAGUUAUUGUAAAAUGUAUUGGCUUAAAACAACAAAUACCAUUUUUGCAGCUUCUGUGGAUCAGGAAUCAUGAAGCAGCUUAGUCGGGUAUUUCAGGCUCAGGGCCUCUCAUGAGGUUGCACUGUAGAUGUGAGCCAAGGCUGCCGUCAUCUGAAGACUGGACUAGGGAUGGAAGCUCUGCAUUUGGGAUCAUACUCAUGGCUGUGGCCCGGAGGCCUCAUUUUUUCACCCUUGGGCCUCUCCGUGGGGCUGCUGCCAACAGGGCCUCCCUAGAAGGAAUGACCCAAGAAGAAGAAAGAAAGACCAAGCUAGAAACCACCGUGUCUUUCAUAACCCAAUAUCAGGAAUGAAGAAGCACCUCUUCUGUGUUCUUUUGGUCUCGCAGACCAACCCUGGUACCAUGUGGAAGGAAAUUACACAAGAGUGUGACUAUCAGGAAUUGAGGAUCACUGGGGCACCUGGAGGCUGGAGUCUACAGGUACUUUAUGGCGAGUCAUGGCGAUGGUGAGGAAGCAGCUACUUUCAUCACAGGCCUUUGCUGUCAGUGGAAUACAGCAACACACAAGACAGACACAGUUGCCUUCCCGCUGAGGCUGGACGUCUACAAAGAAACUCUGGACAGCUAUUUGCCAAGGCGAUGGGCACUACAGAUGAGACGCACAAAUGAUAUGACUCAUGGGUGACGCUGGGCAAACCUCGGUGGUUGAGUCCUGUUGGGUUUUCUCAUAGGAGGUGCUUCCAGGAACAUUCUUGUGCAAGACCGUGUGAGAGUAUCUCCAAGAUAGACAAGUGGAAGUGAAAUUCUGGGCCAUAGUGGAUGAACACUUGCCAAGAGGUGUUGACAAAUUAGUCUUAAAUGAACCUGUACUGCAUUUUAAGGCCUGGGAGCUCUUAGUGGCCCCAUCCUUUCCAAAGCUUGUGUGGUUGGCCGAGUAAUGUCUUCCAAGAUGUCCAAUUCCCAAUCCCUGGAACUUCUGAAUGCUAGCCUGUAUGACAAAAGAGACUCUGAAGCUGGGAUUAAGUUAAGAAUCUUGAGUGGGGAGAUUAUCCUGGAUAAUCCAAAUGGGUCCUUAUAAGAAAGAGGCAUGAGAUCAGAGAACCAGAAGGUGAUGUGAGGAUGGAAUCUAAGAGAGAGUUGAGGAUGCUGUGGCUGCUGGCUUUGAAGGUGCAGGAAGGGCCAUGAGCCAAGGAAUGUGAGAAAUGGAGCUGGAGUUGCCAGAAAAGGCAAGAACAGGGAAUCUUCCUGAGAGGCUGCAGAAGGAGCCAGCUGUGCAACACCUUGACUUUAGCCCAGCGAGACUGUUUUCCAACUUCUGAGCUCCAAAACUAGCUUUCCAAGGUGAAAGUGUUGGACACUCUUUCUUCAUCUCAGAUUUAAUCAACUAAGAAUGCUGCAAAUUGAACACCAGUCCACAAAACUCAGGAAUACAUGAAAAGCAUUGUGCCUUAUUUUUAACUAACUCAAAUUCUAUGUCAGUCUCCCUUUUAUGCUGGAUGUUGGCGCUAAAUCUCAGUGGGUUCCUCAUUCUGCCAGACCUGUGUCCAGUUUGGGGGCUUCACAUAGAGCCACCCCAUCACAGGAGAGGGAAGGGUCUUGCUCUUGGUUGCCAUCACUCCACCCUCUUGUCUUCCGAGCUUUGAUGUUCACUUUCCUUUUCACCACUCGGAAGCUUCCUGCCAUGAUACAUUGAGACCUCAAUGUUAAUGCCAAUUGGGGUUUGGGGUUCUCAUAAACUCAGAAGUCCAGGAAAAUCGCCUGCUGCCUCCCACAACACUCUGAGGGCAUUCUGGAAUCCUACCACUUACCUGGAGCCUGCUGGCCUCAACUGUUUUGAAGUCUGUGUCUGGGCCAUGCAGGUAAAUGGGAGGAUGUUCUGUGGCCAUAAAAAUACCCGAAGUCCCACCUAAAGUUGAUGCAGGGUCUUCUGCAUUUCAUUGCAAAAUUGUUCUAUCAUUUCUAUAGUUUUCAGCCUACAGUCAGGGGCCAGGACUUUGCACCCUUGGUAAACCUCAAUCUCUUCUCCUUCCUGGCUUCUACUCCUUUCUCCCUCAAUCCCAAAUCAAGGCCCUUGAUUGUCUGGAGGUAGGAAAGCCUGGUUCUGGCUCAUGAUAUAGUCUACAUCAUAGCCUUUGUCAUCUCAUGGAUUCACUCAACAACCGUGUGUGGAUGGGGCCACCCAAUAUGUGCCAGGAGUUGAGGACACGCAGGGUUAUGAUGAUGAAAUAGAUAAGGGGCCCACACUCACGGACCCUGCAGGACAGUGGAGCUGUGGACCCAGCAUGCGAGUAAAGACCCAGUGAGCUCACCAGACAGAUCAUUUAAAUCAGGUGAUAGGACAGUGAAGGGCGGGGGCUGCAUUAGUUUUGGUGGCAAGAGAAGGAUUAUCUUCUGAGAGGAUCCACAAAGUAAAGAGGGCCGGUAUGACUGGGUAGAGUGAGGACCGUGGUUGAGGCAGAAGAUGGAGCUCUUUAUUGAGCUCUAGGGAGCCCGUCGGAUGGGACCUACGGGGCUUGAGGGAGCCCAUCGGAUGGGACCUACGGGGCUUGAGGGAGCCCAUCGGAUGGGACCUACGGGGCUUGAGGGAGCCCAUCGGAUGGGACCUACGGGGCUUGAGGGAGCCCAUAGGAUGGGACCUACGGGGCUUGGCGGACUUAAUUUUAAAUGUGGAAGAAGCCAUUGCAGAGCCUGAACCUGAGGUGUGGCAUGGUUCGAGUUACUUCAAACCAAAUUUAUUGAAAUCUCUUUGCAUAAAAUGCAAUGCGUAGAUCUUAAGAGUAUAGUUCAAUGAGAUUUGAUAAAUGUAUGCACCAGUGUAACAACUCCUCCAGUCAAGAUAAAGAAACGUCCCUCACUAUUUCCUCAUGCCCCUUCAUAGUCAAUAUCUGAUCCACUCAGCCUAGGCAACCAUUGAUCUGCUUUUAUCACCAUAGAUAUUUGGGUAUGAGUCUUUGUAUGAUCAGCUAUUUUUAUGUUGCUUGGGUAAAUAUUUAGGAAUAGAACUGCUGAGGCCAAGGAUAGAAUAUUUAACUUGAUUGCCGACUGUUUUUCCCAAGUGGUUGUACCACGUUCUGCCUCCACCAGCAUGUGUGAGUUUCCAGGGCUUCUUGUCCUUGCCAGAUACCAGGUGGUUGCAUGCCGUGUCCCAGUGGCUGUUGGGAAUCACAGUAGCUGGGCCCAAGAUGACUCUGGAGGACUUUACAUUUGCGCCCAUCUGUGGGUCCUCCUAUGCCAGUGUUUCCCAAAGCAUGGGCCAUGCGCAUUAUUCUUUCCAAAAUGAUGUCAUAUGGUGCAUAGGAAUGUCAUGGAAUACAAUGGAAUCACUCUGGAAGGAACUUUUCCCUUCUCAGGUGUUGUUUGAAUAUUCCUGAUGUGAUCGAGGAGAUUAACUGCUACUUAACAUCUCUGCACCGCUUGCUAAACUCCUUGUUAAAAUUAUGCUUUUUAUUUUGAAGGAGUUCUAGAUUCACAUGCGUUGUAAGAAAUAACAGAGAGAUUGCAUGUACUCUUCACCCAGUUUCUCCCAAUGGUAACAUCUUGCGAAACUAUGGUGCAAAAUCAAAACCAAAUCUCUUUUUAUAACAAAGAGAGGGUUCCCACCUCAAGCUCAGAUCCUUCCCUGUGUAGCUAGAACUUAGUAACAGUGUUUUAUUUUAUUAUAUUCAGUUUCAAGGGUUACAUUCUAUUUAUAACAAAUGAUACUGGUUUUCCCUUUACAAUAAUGAUAAAAUUUUAUUACUGAGUAAAUUGAUUUAUGUUUAAAAAUUGAGUUAUUUUAAAGAAUAUAUUAUAUAAAUGAUUGUGCUAGCUGUAUGAAAAUGAAAGUGAAUGAUACAUAAUUGAAUUUCAGGAAACACUGAAAACACUGAAGCUACACUAUCAAAUGGAAUGCUUUCCAGACCCUACUUUUUCUACAUUGAACAACUACUAUGAAUCUGAUACAUCAUGAAUAAACCCAUCAAUUCACUGCAUUUAUGCACGCAAUCGAUAUUUAUUGAGGGCCUUAUGAAUGUAACGAUUUUUCUGGGCCUUGAGGAUGACACAAAGAUGAAACAAAUCAGACAGAUAUCCUAAAUUCAAAUAAUGCAUAGCCUUGCAGGGAGACAUUCAUUCACUCCAUGAAUAUUUAUGAGCACCUGGCAGGUGGCAGGUGUAUUCUAAAAAUGAGGAGGAAGCAGCAGAGGCCAGUGGAGUGCAGCUGUUUGGGGGUUCACAUGUCACUGGUAAGACAGACAAAGAGCAGGAUUCAUGGCAUUUUCUAUGAAGAUGACAAAACUUCAUGGAAAAGUAAAUGCUUGGGGAGGAGACAUGGGGAGGCCUUGUUGUACAGGCAGGUCAGGGAUGGUCUAGCUGAGGAGGAGGCACCAGAGCUGAGGCUGACAUAAGAGAAGGAGCCAAACAUGCAAAGAAGCAGUGGGAAAGUGCUCCAGGCACAGCAACAGCAAAUGCCAAGGCUGUGAGCUGGGCAUGAAACGGGUAUAAUUAUUACACAGUAGCUCUAAUUCAGGAAGGAGGAAGGGCCAAGUGUCUGGAAGAUGCAGAGUUUGGAAUAUGGAAGGGAACAGGCAAAGCUGGAAACAGUCUGAGCCCAUAAAGGCUGCACAUCAGCUCUGUAGCCAUCGGUGGAGCUGAAAGAGACAGGACAAAGGCUCAUAGGAAAGGCAGGACCUGUCCUGAGCUUGAACAACAGAGACGACCUUGAGAAACCUAUUUGCAAAAUGCUUCAAGCAUAAAUGCCAUUUCCUACUAUAACUUUCCAUAGUAGCAGGUUGAAUUGAAUCCCCCAAAAUAUUACAUUCAAAUCCUAACCCCCAGUAUCUAUGAAUGUGCCUUUAUUUGGAAACAAUCUCUUUGUAGAUGUCAUCAAGUUAAGAUAACAUCAUACAGGAUUAGGGUGGGCCCUAAAUCCAAUGAUGUCCUUUUAAAAAGCUGGACACAGAAACACAGAGAGGAGAAUGCCAGUCUAAAGUGGAGGCAGAGCUUGGAGGGAUAUGCCUACAAUAAAACAAGAAACACCAAGGAUUUCUGGAGCCAAGAAAGAGGAAUGGAACAGAUUCUCCCUCAAAGCCCUCGGAAGGAACCAACCCUGCCAACUCUUGACUUCCAACUUCUGGCCUCAAGAACUGAAAUAACACAUUUCUGUGGUUUUAGUCCCCCAAGCUGUGGCAACUAUCUUCAGCAGCCCCAGGACGCUAACAUAGCUCUGCUUCCCUUUGCAGAGCUGGGCAGGGAUUCUGCCACCUGAGGGUUUGGCAUCCAAUUCUUCUGUGAGAUAUUUACUCUUAGUGCCUUAGGCGCCAAUUAUUGUCUUUGAUUAAUUUCAGGGCCUCAAAUUGUGAACCCCUCAGUUUUUCUAACAAUGCCCCUCCUAACCCCAGUCAAGGCCAGCAGUGUUGAAGGGUUCAUUGGGAGGGGACCUGCACUGGCUGUUUGGACUAUCAGCUCCACCAGUGCCUACUGUGGCCUGUGCUUUCUUAGCACAUUUUUAAAGAAAUAAGCUAUUGAACUUGUUGAAAUAAUAAAACAACCCAGGAAUCACCUGAUCCAAAUAAACAAACACCAAUUAACUGCCACUGUGGUGGGCAGAUUCUAGGAUGGUCCAAAUGCUACAGCCUUCUGAAAUUCACAUCCUGGAGUGAUCUCUUCACAAGUGUGGGAUGGACCUAGUGACUGGCUCCUAAUGAGCAGAAUAUGGUAGAAGGGAUAAGACGCUGCUUCUGAGAUUGGGUCAUAAAAAGGCUGUGGCUUUUGCCUUGGGCACUCUCUCCUGGCCACAUCCUAAGGCAGUCUCACAGACAGGCUCACUUGGUCAGGAAUGGUGGCCUCCCUACAGACACAUGAAUGAGCUUGCAAACAGACCCCAGUCAGCCUUGAGGUAACUGCAGGCCCAGUAACACCUGGGUGCAGCCUGGUGAGAGACCCCAAGCUGGAACCACCUAGCUCAGCCAUACCCAGAUUCCCAGCCCAUAGAAACUACAAGAUAAUAAAUGUUUGUUGUUUUCAGCCACUAGGUUGUUGGAAUAAUCAGCUAUUCAGCAAUAGAUACCCAGCGUCCUCACUGUGGGGCUGCAGAGUGCUUUGAAUACCAAAAUGUUUAUUAAAGAGGAAAAUUAUCUUGGAUGAGCAUAGAUCAGAUAAGGUCAGAUUAGGGUGCUGUACUUCAUUCAUUCAUUCAGUUAGGUACACUUCAUUCAUUCAUUCAGUUAGCCAGUCAGCCACACUCAUUCCUUUAUUCAUGCUGCUAUGUGCCAAGUAUUGUCCUGGGCACUGGAGAUAAUGAAAAUAAAAACAGCCCCUGUCCAUAAUGACAUCAUAGUCUAAUGAAGAUGACAGGGCAUAUUUAAAUAAUUGCUUUUGUGAGAUAAAUGCUAACAUAUGUUCAGUCACUUUUUCAACCAACAGACAUUUUCUGAGUGCUUGCCAUUGUGCCAACCUUGUGCUAAAUGCUGGGCUUCAUACCAUGGGCAAGACUGGCCUGGGUCCUUUUCUCGUGGAGGCCAUGGUCUGCGUAGGAGGCACUUCACCCUCCAAGUACACACAGGGAAAGAAUAACUGCUCUGUCUGGUCUUAAGGGAGGGCUUCCAAAACGAAGUUCUUGAAGGAAGCCUUGAAAAAAGAGUAGGAAGUACUCUUGUUCCAGUAGUUCUGGCAGAAGAAUGGGAAGGAAAUUCCAAGGAACAGAAUGUGUGUUACUUGGAAGCAUGUGACAAUGUGGUGUGUCUGUGUCUGCAGUCCAGCAAGGAGUUCGACCUCGCUGAAUACUUUGCCUCUGAUACCACAAAGAAGGGUGCUUCUGGAUGUUUACUGCAGCAAGACUUGCAACCCUGGACACUAAGCUACCACCUGAAUGUUCGUGGGUGCCUGUUGUCUACUCAGGAUCCACACCAUGGGCACCACUGUCCCCAAGGAGGGAAGGUAGAGCCCUCCCAGGGUUCUCAGCCUCAGUAUUACUGACUCACUCUGUUGAUAGCCUGUCCUGUGCAGUGUAGGAUGUUUAGCAACAUCCCUGGCCUCUGCCCACUAGAUGCCAGUAGCUCCCCCUCCCACAUUGUGACAACCAACAUUUUCCCUGGGUAUCACCAAAUGUCCCCUGGGUGGGGGCAAAAUUGCUCCCAGGUGAUAAUCACUGCUCUUUAGAACCAACAUAUUAUUAAAAGACCAGAGAAAGACAUGAUCUUAAUUCCUAAUUCUAUGUAAAAAAAAAAGAAAAGUGAAUGUAUGUGCAUGCCCAUAGCUAUAGGAAUUGAUGGCUAAGGUCUAUGGAGCACACUCUUAUGCUCCCCAAGGUUAAAGAAUUUCCAUGAGGAGACAGUGGUGUGACAGAGACACUCAAAGGAGGGUUUAGCCUCUUUCACUCAGUGUACUCUGCAAUGAUUAAAUUGAUUAUAAUAAGAAUGUUUCCAUGUUAUCAGUUGUUUAAAGAAGUUCAAAUAUGCCCUACUCUUAUGGCCAAAGGUAUUUGUAAACAUGUCAAAAAUGGCUAUGGAAGGUCUUGGCAGCAAAGACAGGAAAAGUUAGAAAGUAUAUGUGAGUUCCCUGAGACGGAAGGGAGAAAAACAACGCCAAACUGAAGAUAAGUGUAUCAGUUAUUGCCUACAUGCCAGGAAUACCAUAUGAGAGUUUAAGAAGUUAAAAUAGGCCGGGCGUGGUGGCUCACACCUGUAAUCCCAGC